AACAACUAAACCAGCAAUUCGUUCACAAGAAAACUACUUGGCGCUGAGCUGGCGUUGAAUUCCUUGGGUUACCCUGCCACUUUACUCACUUUUUUUGAUAUGAUUAAAUCUUAUACCCGUUGGAAGGCUCUCCGAUUGCAUUUGAUAGCUGAUUUGAUUUUCUUAAACUGGAAUUUCCUACAGCGAAGUCAUUCGAGAUCUUCAUCAGGUCACAUGGCAGAUACAAGCAGCAAUGAUAACACUGUGCCCAUGCUAGAAUCACCAGGCAAAGGAAAUUCUGCAAUAACUGUUCAGAAAAAAGGUCCACAUAGAAAUGUGGCUUCUGGUUUUGUUGUUGUCCUCCUUCCUGUUAUUCUUUCCCUGGUCCUUAUGAACAGAAAAAGAGAUAAGGUACGUGGAGUGCAUGUGGAAGUUGGAGGGGAUCCUGGUUUCACAGUUCAGAAUCACAAAUUUCCAGUACUAGUAAAUUCACCUUGGGAAGGAGCUACAACUCUUGCAGUCCUUUUUGAGCAGGCAUGCAAAAAACACAGUCAAAUGCGAUUGCUUGGGUCACGAAAACUUAUUAGCAGAGAAACACAAGUCAGUGAAAAUGGAAGAACCCUAGAGAAAUUACAUCUGGGUAGCUAUGAAUGGUUAAGUUAUGCAGAAACAUUUGAGCGGGCUUGCAACUUUGCAUCGGGAUUAGUAAAUCUAGGACAUCAAAGAGGUGAACGAGCUGCAAUUUUUGCUGAAACUCAAGGAGAGUGGUUUAUUGCAUUGCAGGGAUGCUUUCGGUACAACAUCACGGUGGUCACCAUUUAUGCAUCUUUGGGAGAGGAGGCACUUAUUCAUUCAUUGAAUGAGACAGAAGUAUCAACAGUAAUUUGUGAUUCCAAGCAGCUGAAAAUGCUCAUUGACGUAAGUGUGCAUGUGGCUUCUGUAAGGCGUAUUGUUUACAUGGAAGAGAAGGCCAUUACAUCUAAGACUUCUUUUCCUGAAAAUAGCUCCAGGUGGACAGUGGUAUCAUUUUCAGAAGUUGAAAGACUAAGUUUGCAGAAUCAUGUGGAUCCAAAUUUGCCUGUAGCUUCAGAUGUUGCAGUUAUAAUGUAUACAAGUGGUAGUACAGGGUUGCCCAAGGGAGUAAUGAUGACUCAUGGGAAUAUUGUAGCAACAGUGGCAGCAGUCAUGACACUUGUUCCAGGACUUGGUAAUAAGGACAUCUAUUUGGCAUACUUGCCAUUAGCACAUAUUCUUGAACUAGUAGCAGAGUUGUCUGUUGCAUUACAGGUAACAAUGGUUUCUGCAGGGUGUGCAAUAGGUUAUGGUUCCCCUUUGACUCUAACUGACACAUCAAACAAGAUCAAGAAGGGAACAAAAGGGGAUGCUCCAAUGUUGGGCCCUACAUUGAUGACAGCUGUACCUGCUAUUUUAGAUCGUAUCCGAGAUGGUGUACAGAAACAGGUUGAUGCAAAGGGUGGAAUAUCAAAUACACUAUUUAAUACUGCAUAUGCCCGAAGGUUAGCAGCUAUUGAAGGAAGUUGGUAUGGAGCAUGGGGUCCAGAAAAAUCUUUUUGGGAUGUUGUAGUAUUUAACAAGAUACGUUCACUUCUUGGAGGUCAGGUUCGGUUUUUUCUUAGUGGUGGAGCUCCUCUUUCUAGAGAGACACAGAGAUUCAUCAAUAUUUGCUUUGGGGCACCAAUUGGGCAAGGAUAUGGUCUCACAGAAACGUGUGCAGGAGCAACAUUUUCAGAAUGGGAUGAUACAACUGUUGGACGUGUUGGUCCACCUCUUCCUUGUUGCUAUGUUAAGCUGGUGAAUUGGGGAGAAGGUGGAUAUUUGACAACUGAUUCUCCAAUGCCUCGGGGAGAGAUUGUUGUUGGUGGACCGAGUAUAACUUUAGGAUAUUUUAAAAAUGUUGCCAAAACUGCUGAAGUGUACAAGUUGGACGAGAAUGGGACACGAUGGUUCUAUACAGGUGACAUAGGGAAAUUUCAUCCUGAUGGUUGUCUUGAGAUCAUCGAUCGUAAGAAAGACAUAGUAAAGCUGCAACAUGGAGAGUAUGUUUCCUUGGGAAAGGUUGAAGCAGCUUUAGGUGCAAGCAAUUAUGUAGAAAAUAUCAUGCUGCAUGCAGACCCAUUCCACAGCUAUACUGUAGCUCUUGUAGUUCCAGGACGGCAAGCUCUUGAGAAUUGGGCACAGAAUGUGCAUUUAGAAUACACAGAUUUUAGAGACUUGUGUCUAAACAAAGAUUCAAAUAAAGAGGUCUAUGGGUCACUUUUGAAGGCUGCCAAAAACUCAAAGCUUGAGAAAUUUGAAAUUCCAGCAAAGAUCAAGCUACUUCCUGAUGCAUGGACUCCUGAGACUGGUCUUGUCACAGCAGCUCUCAAGUUAAAACGAGAAGCUUUAAAGAAGACCUUUUCAGAGAAAUUAUCUAAACUGUAUGAGUAGAUGGAGUUCUUUUCUAGCUUUGUAACCGCUGAUGGUGUCUUAUUCAUGUUUUACUGUAUAAACUCAAACUAUGUGUUUGAGGUUUUAUCAUAUCUUAGUAUUAGUCUGUUGGCCUCAUAUUUCCCAGAGAAAUUUUAUAGUGGACAACUGAUUAUAAAAUAAACUUUAAAUUCCCAACUAAGUUUUGCCAUAUUGAUUUAUGGGAGCAUUCUGAGGGUUGCUUGCUACAGCGGUGUGGAGAAAUUGCAUCGCGUCAGCAGUACAGAGUUGCUUCAAAACUGUAGAAAUGGAUGAGCCUCUCUAAUUACUGAAUAAUAACCAUGUAGAAUGUUUCUACUUCAGCUUGUUGAGGUAUUUGUAUUCUGAGGGUUGCUUGCACAGUGGUGAGUAUUUUAUAUUAAUGUCACAUGGAUUUAAUUGUUACUCUUUUGGCAUGAAUUGUAUGGGUACAUGAUGUUACCAAAGUCUGUACUCAUAGAAAACUACAUAUACAGCUGUAGGCACUUUUAAAAU